ensembl:lincRNA
GAAAUAAUGAUGAAAAAAACAAACACAAUCUAGAAAAAUUUAGAAAUUUCGUUCUGAACACCUAUGUCACGCGCAGGGACUGGUCACCGACCCCGUGUGUGUCUGUGGUGACCACAGCCAGGCGCCUGCACUCUUGGAGUUCAAGAGCCGGGGCGAAGAUGGUGGUGGACACAUACCUUAAUGUGUCUCUACCCCCGAGUGCCACAAGUGUUAAAAAAAAAAAAAAAAACGCUGUCUUUUUAUGGUUUGGGUGUUUCCAGAUGAUUGGAGAAGGAAAUGGCAACCCACGCCAGGAUUCUUGCCUAGAGAAUCCUGUGGACGGAGGAAGAAUCGUGUGGACGGAGGAGCCUGGUGGGCUGCUGUCCGUGGGGCCCCACAGAAUCAGACACAGCUGAAGUGACUCAGCAGCAGCAGCAGCAGCAGCAGCAGCAGAGGGCGUGAUAAGAUGCUGCGUCGUAUCCAGAAGCAUCUCCCAACUCGAGGAUCUCUGUUCGUGCUCUAUGGAUUAAAAAUAAAUACAUCUACAGAGUUGGUCAACAUGUAGACGCAUUGCAAUAAUACCAGAUGGAUUUCCAGCACAUGAGUGCUGACUCUGGGCCUCUGACAGCCAUCGCCCUGGAGAAUUCCCGGAGAGGGAGACGGCGGCGGCUGGCCGGCCCUCCCGCCCGGCAGGCUGCCGGGUCUCGGCGGAGACCCCUUAACCGGCUCUACAAGGCGCGUGGCGGGCGCGGGAGGCUCCCGGGGGUAAAGCGUCCGCCUUGGGCUCGCAUCCCGGGCGGGCGGAGGCGCCGCGUCCCCCACGGCGCUGAGGGCAUGAUGGAUUGCCCGUGUCACUAUCGGCACCGGCCGUGGCACUCGGCCUCCGAUAAGACAGCCGCUCCCCUCCACGCGGAGGAGGCAGCUGUUUUUCUCCCCGAUUUUGGGGCUGAAAGGAAAACUUUUGGAGGGUAACCUCGUCAAGAUUCUCGUGGCGUCUUAAACUAUGUCUGGAUGGCCUCCUGCCUGGGCUUCAUGGGUGUUGUCUCGAGAGUAAAGCUGUCACAUGCUGUUUCUGAAUGAGCUGAAACAAUAAAGUUUAUCUCCUCGGCAACAACUCCACUUUUAUCUUGCGGAAGAUCACGUGAAAAUGCUUGGCCUCAACUUCGAAACUUUCUGCUCCUGGGAGAAAUGGUCAGGUUUUCCCAUGACGUGGAGGGUAAUCAGGAGAAGAUCACCAAGGGCAGCGAGGCUGUCUUGCCCAUAACAGGAGACGGGGCUUUUUUUUGUUGCCUCGCAGUAGCAGGACUUCCACCGACCGAGCACGAAGGCUCACCUGAGGUUUGGGUGCUGGGCUCAGAGGGCCAUCAGAAGUGUCCCCUCCGGCUACGGUGGCCAACAGCAAUGCAGGAAGCUUUAAUCUUGUGCUUUGCCAGUGCUCUUUAAACAAAAGCGGUGACUUUAUCUUCUAGAGCUCACCGUGUCUACAGAAGGCUAUUCUGCAAACGUUUGUCAACACGGCCUCCAGCAUUUCCAGCAGUUUUGAGGCUCAGCUGGGACUUGAGUCCCCGCUGCUGGAGGUCUCUGAGAAGGGGCCCCAUUAAACUUUCUGGAGUUUAAUGAUCACCCCCAUCACUUAAUGACAACAACAGAAAUCUUUCUACCGGUGCUUCCAACCAGCUUUGUUUUGAAGUUUUAAUCAGGCCUAAAUGGGAAGUUGUUGAGGAGAAUGGUGUGUGCUGCGUUUUAAUCCCUGGACCCCUGCUUUCUCCCUCCCUUCCCGCCCCCCUCCCCCCAGUCUCCAGCGUUGUUGCAUGGUGUGGCCUUGGAUUGCCGUGUUUCUAACAUACAUAAUGAGCUCAGUGUCAGACUGCUGGGGCUUUUGUCUUUAACAAUAAGCAUUUAGCUCAACUAAAUGAAUAGAAAUUGCUUUAGUGAAUUACAAAAGCCAAGGUCUUUUCAAUGCAUGAACACUGACAUUCAUUACUUUCAACAUUGUCUUAUUUUUGCAAGCAUAGUAACUUAAAAUUGGACUUAAAAACGUAGUAAACUAAUUUACUGUUACACAAAAAACCCCUAUCACCAGGAAAUCAGAAGGCCUACUGAUGGUCAUAAAAAUCCUUUUCUGAUUUAAAAAGAGUCCACAGUCUUACGGCAUGCAUUAUUUGACUAUGAGUGCCUUCGUCUGAUUUCGAGUCUAAAGUCUUGUCACAGAGUCUGCCUCCCUGGGUCAGCCAGCCGAGGUCAGCAGCCCACAGCCUCCCUGACUUGGGACAAGUUCUCCAAAGUCAGCAAACAAGAGCCGACUUCCUGCCUGACCCUCUCGGUCCUCAAGCCAGCCCCUCUGCCCUCAUUCUGCUGUUACCGA